UGUGUGUGUGCGCUGCGUGGUGACGUAGGCGCGUGCAUGUGUGCCCCGGUCACAGCUCCUUUCAGCAUGGCCGGAGGAGAGGUGUACUGGCAGUCGCGUGACACACACAGAUCAGACACAUAUUUCUGUGUUGCAGAUGUGCAGUAAAGAGCCAAAGACCCAGUACUGUCUCCUGC